AUUGAACGCUGGCGGCAGGCCUAACACAUGCAAGUCGAGCGCGAAAGCACUUCGGUGUGAGUAAAGCGGCGGACGGGUGAGUAACGCGUAGGAAUCUACCUAGUAGUGGGGGACAACUCGGGGAAACUCGAGCUAAUACCGCAUACGCCCUACGGGGGAAAGCGGGGGACCUUCGGGCCUCGUGCUAUUAGAUGAGCCUGCGUUGGAUUAGCUAGUUGGUGGGGUAAAGGCCUACCAAGGCGACGAUCCAUAGCUGGUCUGAGAGGAUGAUCAGCCACACCGGGACUGAGACACGGCCCGGACUCCUACGGGAGGCAGCAGUGGGGAAUAUUGCGCAAUGGGCGAAAGCCUGACGCAGCCAUGCCGCGUGUGUGAAGAAGGCCUUCGGGUUGUAAAGCACUUUCAAUUGGGAGGAAAGGUUCACGGUUAAUAACCGUGAGCUGUGACGUUACCUUUAGAAGAAGCACCGGCUAACUCCGUG
rnacentral:rRNA from 1 species